rnacentral:rRNA from 1 species
AGACUCUGUGCGCGUGCAUAUCAAUAAGCGGAGGAAAAGAAACUAACAAGGAUUCCCUUAGUAACGGCGAGUGAAGCGGGAAGAGCUCAAAUUUGAAAUCUUCAAGGUUUUACCUUGACGAAUUGUAGUUUAUAGAAGUGUUUUCUGUUAGUAGGAGUGGCAAAAGUUCUUUGGAAUAGGACAUCAUAGAGGGUGAGAAUCCCGUAUUUGGUCAUUCCUCCUAGCGUUGUGAUACACUUUCAACGAGUCGGAUUGUUUGGGAAUGCAGUCCAAAAUGGGUGGUAAAUUUCAUCUAAAGCUAAAUAUUGGCGAGAGACCGAUAUUAGCGAACAAGUACCGUGAGGGAAAGAUGAAAAGAACUUUGAAAAGAGAGUUAAACAGUACGUGAAAUUGUCGAAAGGGGAAGCGUUUGACACCAGUGUUGUUUUUCCGAAAAUCAAUUACGAAUGUUUUGUUUUUGAGGAGUUAUGACUUCAUCGGCUUGCUCCUUUCUUUACGAAACUUUCUUAAUGCACUAUUCGGUUAACAAGUCAACAUCGAUUUCUUUUGUUGUAAAAGGGUAUGAGGAAGGUGGCUUUCUUUUCGGAGAAAGUGUUUAUAGCCUUGUGCCUCUGCAAUCGGAGAGAUUGAGGUCUGCAGCGUAGAUCCUUCGGGGUUAGAUACGUUUGUGCUAAGUUAUAGCUUUUCAUAGACAACUUGUUGACUAUGUUUAGUCUUGUAGCUUACUCGCUUAUGCUACUUUACCUACGCUUAGGAUGUUGACAGCAGUAUAGACUGU